rnacentral:ncRNA from 1 species
AAAAAAGCUAUGAGAGGGAAUAGUAGCUUGUAUCCAUUCCAAAGAGAGCCGGUGGUUGGUGCGAACCGGUGUAAGGUGCAAAUGAAUCCGCCCUCGAGCAGAGUAUGGAACGCCAUUAUGGCAAGUAAAUACUUUCGGUAAAAACCGUUAUUUUAUGAGUGGAAAGCAUUUUUGCUUUCAACUAGGGUGGCAACGCGGGUUAACUCUCGUCCCUUUU